CCCGCCCGAGCGCCCCCCUCCCUGCGUAGGUGCCAUCCCGCCCCUCCCAUUCCCCACCUUCCCCGUCACCGCCGCGGUCCGGCCCUCCGACCGGUCGGCACGGUCGCGGGGCCUGAGCCCGUGCUUGGGGGGUGGUCGAGAGGGCAGACCUCGGUCGUGCGGCGGUUUCCUGGCGUCGGGACGCCCCCUCAUCAUCGAGCUCGCGCCUCCUGCCCCCUCCGAUGGCCUCCUCUGCUUCGGUGUCGGCUUCUGUCUCGCGUGGCUUGCCCAAAUUCCGUGCCUUUCUCCCCUCUCCGGCUCCGGCCAGCCCGGCCGUCGACGCCCCGCGGGUGGUGCUGGCGCCGCGCCGCCACCCCCUGGCUGUACGAGGGGAAACCCUUCCCUCCCACAGCGACCCGUCGCUUAAUGGGCUGGGCCGCCUAGAGCACCUUGGUCCUCUGGUGUCGGGGGGCUUUCCUCCUCUGGGUCGUGGGGUGGGGCUGGGCCUCGCCUCGUCUCCUGCUGGAGGCCUGGUCGACCAUGCACCAGGGCCCGAGACAACCUCGUCUCUAGGGCAAGUGUGCUCUCCUGCCUUGCAUUCCUCCCCCUUCCCGCACCCUCCCAUCCUGCGCCGCCCCCUGUCCCCUCCACCAUUCCCGCGCCGUCCGUGCUCUCCGCUCCGCCCCCGAUGCCGCGUGAUGCGGGGGAUGGGGCUCCUCGCCCAAAACACCGUGCUGACGAGCCAGCGGACCGUCGCCCGGCCGACUCCUGGCGCCCCUCCUCGGAGGCCUCGCGGAGGGAGUCCAAGCUCCGCUCCAAGCUCGUGUCCCGUGGCUCUGCCCUGACCUCAGACCCCUCCGGGUGGGAGGACCGGCUGCGUGACCGCUCGCCGGACCAUUGGCGGAGCCGUGGGUGUGAGCGGGACCGCUGUUCCCCUGCUCGUCGCUGCCCUCCCCUCCGAUCGCAGUCCCCGGCUCGCUCUAGUCGUGCGGAGCAAUCCCCACCUUGCUGGUACAACCCACCAUAGCGUCAGCCGCAGUUCCGUCCCCCGGGUCCCGGCGCUCCCAACCCCUGGGGCGCUUUCGCGAAGAAGAAGAAGAAGAAGGCUGGCCAGUGGUUCGGUGGUGGAGCUGGCCAAGCUUCUUUCAUCACCCACCCGACCCCGGCCCAUCUGGCCUCUCCGGCAAAGUCCACCUCCAACGCCAUUUCCUGCUUCAACUGUGGCAAGGAGGGCCACUGCCAGGUCGACUGCAAGGAACCUCUGGCUUGUUUCAAGUGCAAGGGCACGAACCACCCCACGAUUCUCUGACCGCUUCAGCCGGAGGAGGGAGAGCUGAUGCUCUACGGCCAUGCUCUGGACGAUCUUGGAUUCUUCCAAAUGGAUCUGCCCGCGGUCGCGGCUGUGCCAUCCCUAACCGCUCUCAUCUCGGUCUUGGAAGGCCGGUCGGCUUCCCCGUCUAUCAUCACGGAGGAGCUCCGUCACCUCUUCCGCCCUGAUUGGGACUGUGAGGUUGCUCCGAUCUCUGAUCACGAGUUUACCACGGUGUUUCCGGAUCCUAUCAACUUGCGCUAUGGCACGCACAGUGAUCAGCUCACAUUAGCUCUCAACAAGCUCACCGUCAGCAUAUCAGUGCCAUUGGUGGACCCUAUGGCGGUGGCCUGUCUCUCGACGGUGUGGAUUCAAAUCCGUGGGCUACCGCCGAUUUCUAGGAAGGAGCGCGCCAUUCGGAACAUGUCCAGACUCCUUGGCAAGAUAGUGGAGGUGGAUGGCUCCUCUCUCGUUCGCGGACCGGCUGUUCGUGUCAAGAUCAAGACUCACGACCCGACUAAUCUACAGACAACUGUCCGUAUGUUCUUUGGAGAUGCUGGAUAUGACCUCAAGAUCUCGAUGGAGGGGGAAGCUUUGGGCUCCUCCCAACCAGCGACGGAUGAUGUGGCUCCCGGGUCCGAUGGCGACUUGGGCGGUGGCCCACGCUCCCACGAUGGUGGUCGGUCACCGCGUAGGCGUAGCCGUUCCCCAAGCUCCAGCGGGGAGGAUGAAGACUCCCUUGAGCCACAUGCGCCGCCCCUGCCGGCGGACAAGACAGCGACCAAAGAGCUCUCUCUGACCCAUGAUGCUUCUGCCCAAGAUCCGAUGGAGGAUGUGGACGCUCGUGCACUCAACGACAUGCUCGACGCUGAUUCACCACUUCGCCCUAGCGCGGCCCUCCCCCUACUCCUUGGCACUCUCAUGGCUGCUUUGGAGUCGGAGACGCUUAGUGGGGCAAGCAAUGUCAGCUUGGAGGUCUGCCCCCUCCUUCCCGCGUAUGGCCUCACCCACCAUCACCCGGGCAUCAUCGCCACCAUCUUCGUCGCGGGUUGGGUCGGGGGAGGUCCGCCCCCCCGGUGACCGGGACUGGGCAGGUCCGCCCCCCCGGUGCCUCCUCGUCCUCCGAAGGGCAAGGGCCCACCGCGUUCGGCGUCUUCUCCGGCGAUGAUCACUCGGAAGAGCGCGUGGAUCGACUUGGCCGCGCGUGCAACUGGUGCGUCCCCCAAUGUAGUUGAGAAGGCCGCUCGCCGGGCUGCGGCCCGCAACUUGGACUCAGCUAUGGAGACCGCUCAGCAAGCGGUGUGAUCGGGACUUCAUCGACAGGAUCAUCUCGGCCUUACGCACCACCGGAGGAGCAUUGGCGCCACCGCUCCCGCCUCCACCACAUGAGCCGGACUAGUUAGACUACAAUCCAUAUUUUGGGGUUGUUUGGCUAUGCCCCGAGCGCUCUGCUCUAUGUUGUACUUCUGUUAUGCCCUUGUGGUAACCUUUUUUUUGUUUCCUUGGCUGGACCUUUUGUUGGUCGCGAUUGUCGGGUAUUGUUGUGGUGGUUGCUUUAUAAUCUAAAGCGGGGGGAAACCCUAUUUCGUGAUACUAUCGGCACGGUAAUGGAAUAAUUUCUGCCAAAUGUGACAUUCAGAAGGGAUUUAUUUGGACCCAGACUACAAUCGCGGAACA